rnacentral:rRNA from 1 species
GUAAAGCACUUUCAGUAGGGAGGAAGGUAGUGUAGUUAACACCUGCAUUAUUUGACGUUACCUACAGAAGAAGCACCGGCUAACUCCGUGCCAGCAGCCGCGGUAAUACGGAGGGUGCGAGCGUUAAUCGGAAUUACUGGGCGUAAAGCGCAUGCAGGCGGCCUGUUAAGUCAGAUGUGAAAGACCCGGGGCGUUAACCUCGGAAUUGCAUUUGUAAACUAGGCAGGCUAGAGUCUUGUAGAGGGGGGUAGGAAGUUUCAGGUGUAGCGGUGAAAUAGCGUAGAGAUCUGAAGGAAUACCAGUGGCGAAGGCGGCCCCCUCGGACAAAGACUGACGCUCAGAUGCGAAAGCGUGGGGAGCAAACAGGAUUAGAUACCCUGGUAG